GCCAAUCUUCCCACCUCCCCCAUCGUUUCGUCAACCUCCGAGCCUCACAUCGGCCAGAUCCGUCCGCAACAACCUCUUCUUCUACCUCCCCUCAUUCGUGCCGGUCUGAUCUCGCGACCUCAAGAUGCCACAGGUUGCGCCCGAUGCCGACGGCGUCAUCAGGCUCGCCGAGUUCGUGGCGCUGAACGCUACCGUUGACGGGGACGACGCCGCCGUUGUGGAGGACCUGCGGCUCGCCUUUGGGUCCUUAGACGUCGACGGCAGCGGCGCCAUGUCCUCCACCGAGCUUGCACACGUCCUCCACUGCCUCGGGUAGAAGGCCACCGGCAUGCAGUGCCGCCGCAUGGUCGAGGGCAUCACCAAGAACUGCGCCGGACUCAUAUCCUUCGAGGACUUCAUGGUCAUAAUGGCCUGAUGCUGCACCGUUUUGGCCAGAUCUGAGACUGCAGUGAGGGGUUCAGCAAGCGAAGCACCUUCUUUGCAAUUUCCGUGGGAAAUUUCCAUGAAAGGUUUAAUUCAGGCAUCAGGGCAAUUGUUAGUUCAACGAUUGUUAAUUCUGCACAUGUAUAUAUGAGCAGCGACACCUUCUUUGCACUCCCGUAGAAUCAGGUUCAGUUCAGGGCCUUUAUUGUGCAGCUAGAAAUCCACAGUAUAUCCAUCUUUUAUUUCAGCAAAGGUUCUUUGGGGAUUUGUGGCUAGUUGCAGGUGUAUUAUGUCAAUGAAAUCUUAGUACUUCCCCAGAGAAAUUAUCUGCUAGCAUAUGAGCUUAGUUGGCAUUUAACAAGUUUACACGAUCAUCUCCAAAAAAAAUGUAGUAAACACAUAUUCUCAACAUUGGGACUGUAGCUUUGCUUUUCAUUGCUAUGUAUGUCUAUGCUUGCUUGCUUUCAAAUCUAACGGAAGCCAAUUAUUGUUGGACAAAUAAUCGCUAAAUUUAAGUUUUUUUAUUCAAAACUCAUCAACACAUAUUCAGAGAAGUGUAUGUAGUUCAGUAUCACAAAUUAGCUACCCUUGUGGGCCUUCAUACGAAGGCCAAACAACAAUCGAUGUUGCCACUUUGUACAUGCAAAUUUAGUUUAACCUACCGUUGCUUGGUUUGCUACUGAUGUGGCUAAAAAGAUAUUGUUGAAGGCUAUUCUUUACAUUGCCAAGUUAAGUAAUUUGCUAAUUGUUCUAGAAUCACCACUUUCCUCUGAAUCUGGUAUAAGCUAUAUUGUCAACAAUUCAACAUAAGUGGUCUCUGUGUUGUUAUAUUAGGAAAAUGCUAGGAAUAUGGAAAACAAUGGUAUACGAUGCAUAUAUAUAUUUAUAAUAUUAUAAUUUAUGAAAACAAUGUCAUGUUACAGCAUGAGUUUUAGUCUGUGUGAUCAUGUAUGUUAGCUAUAAAGCUAUUCAUCAGGAGAUGGUUUAAUUCUUACAGCAACAAGUUUUUCCACUGAUUUGUCCUCGUUGGUUUGCAUGGCCAAAAUUUUGGUAAGAUACAUUUAGUUUUGAAGUCUAAAUGGAAAUAGUUUGUGCAAGGAGCAGGUAUAAGCUUCUUUACUCAUUGCUUAAUACUGAAAAAGUGCAUUCAGCUAUUUCAUGAGUACCGUCUAGUAGAGAUGGCUUAUCAGUAUUGAAAAGGAACAUGCAAUCCGAUGCCUUCUCAACGCUAUCUGUUAUGUUUUAUUCUCUGAAGGCUUUGUCUUGCAGUAUGUUAAUGUUUUAAUCUAUUGUCCAGGUUGAGCCAGCAAUUGGUAAAAUAAAGGAGAAUUCAAGAACUGGAGAAAUUGGCCACGGGAAGAUAUUCUGGCGACAGUGGAAGGCAGGAUGCUAGUUCAUACUGUUAUUUUGUUAGCCCAGUGUACCAAAUGGCACGGCCUAGUCCUGUCUAUUGUCAUCUAAUGAGUGCUGCAUAGCUAUUACCGAACCCAUCGUUGAGAGGGCAUGCGCGUAGCUGUGUUUCUGCUUACAGCGUUUUGGACAUGGUCAAGUUGCAGGACAUGAGGUCACAGGCUGCUCAAAUGGUGGCAAUGAUGCUGCCCAAAUUUGGCAUCAGGUAGAAUGCCAUCAAGAUGAAGUUCAACACCGAACUAGUGAUGAGCCUACAGGAGUAGUGGCAUACCAUCUCCUAGCCCCAGGAAAGGCUUCAUCGUCUAAUGAUAGGACCAGAUUUUGAAGAGGCGUUGGUUAUCGGGAGGCGAGAUAAAUACAGGACAAUGGACGUGCUUCUAUCUUCUGCGAGCAACAUCACAGAAGGGCUGCCCAGUUGUGCAUCAUUCUUCCCGUAUAUGGGCUUGCACUGCCCCAAGACAACAUAUGACACGUGAAAUCCUGCACAACAAAAAUAGUAUCAUUAUAUGAUGUAAUGGGUUACUUGUCUGUUAUUUGCAGCAUUA